ncrna:unclassified sequences PhotoRC-II RNA
UGCUCAUCAUAUCAUCCCCCUAACCAAGACCACGGGGUUAUAAUGUCUUCUUAUCCACUAGUGAAGGGAUUAGUGGAAAUAUCGUAUCGC